UUUCUGUUAAAUGUGGCGGCCAUAACUCGACCUAAUCGAAGUUAUAAUUUUGCAAAGGCUUCAGUCGUGAAACACUGGUCACAUCCCUACAUCAACGAUGACCUCGAUCAGAAAGAUUUCUUUGCACUUAAACUGGAUACCCUGUAGAUGCCACAGGUUACUUGAAGAUCAUGCAAGUGGAUUAGAUGUCUAGUGAUUGGGAUGUGCAGUUAUGUUUAAGCAGUGAUUGUUUUCCUUUGCAAUCCAACUGUUGGGAGAACCAGUUUCUCAAUCCAUGGUAAAGUCCUGGGAGGUUUCUUGAUCAAAGUAAACAGCAAACAGUAAACAGAAGAAAAUGGUUCAAGAAUUCUGCUGACUGCCAAGUCCUUUAAUUAUUUUUAUCUGAAC